AAUUUUGGACAAUGGGGGAAACCCUGACCCAGCCAUCCCGCGUGUAGGAUGAAGGCCUUCGGGUUUUAAAGUACUUUUGGCAGAAACGAAAAGGUAUCUCCUAAUACGAGAUACUGCUGACGGUAUCUGCAGAAUAAGCCCCGGCUAACUCCGUGCCACCCGCCGCGGUAAUACGUAGGGUGCAAGCGUUAAUCGGAAUUACUGGGCGUAAAGCGUGUGUAGGCGGUUCGGAAAGAAAGAUGUGAAAUCCCAGGGCUCAACCUUGGAACUGCAUUUUUAACUGCCGAGCUAGAGUAUGUCAGAGGGGGGUAGAAUUCCACGUGUUGCAGUGAAAUGCGUAGAUAUGUGGAGGAAUACCGAUGGCGAAGGCAGCCCCCUGGGAUAAUACUGACGCUCAGACACGAAAGCGUGGGGAGCAAACAGG
rnacentral:rRNA from 1 species